AGACCCAUGCCAAGGCCGUGAUCACUACUUUCUGGGUGAGUUCUCUUCAGAAGCACAAGUCCAUUCUAGUUUCAUGAAUGAUUUAACUCAUGGCUUCUUCCAUUCUUGUUUCAUGCAUGAUUAUAGAAAUUCUAUCGAGUUCUUCCGGAGCACAGGGCCAGAGCGGACCAGAUCGUGAUGCGCCAAUGCAAGAAGAAGGCCCGCCAGAUGCAGUACGAGGUGCGCUAUGUGGCCAUCUCGACAUACUACCACGACUAUCUUAGUGUGAAGAUGACCAAGGAAGAAGCGCGGAGGAUGGGCAUUACCUUGGAGAGGGACGAGUUCUUGGCGGUGUGUCCAAAUUGGUGUUAUGGAAAAGACGAGUCCUGGGCGGCAUUGGUGGAUCUUUGGUGUGAUGAGGCUGGAGCCUGGGCGGCUAUGAGAAUAAAAAACAAGGCUAACCGAGGGAAGGAGGGAGUACAUGCUCAGGGAAACUGAAACCACUAUCUCCACAAGGCAGUUAAUGAGGAGAAAUUGAAGCGGCCGCUCUCACACAUGCAGGCGUGGGAGAUAGCCCAUACGCUGAAGGACCCCAAGCCUGGCGAGCC